rnacentral:lncRNA from 1 species
UGGUCUCUCUCUUGCUCUUUUCGUCUCUGCCUUCUCUCUAGAACCUUCUGGUUCUCUUUUUCUUCUCAGAUGGUACUCAUUGCCUUUCCAGCCACCUCCACCGUUACUUCUCUUGACUACCAGUCACCAUAGAACCUUGUCUCAUUGCUUCUCUCUGAGCCGCGAAGCCCCAGAGACUUCCACCAUUAAAGGAUGUCCCUGGAAGCCUUGUUUGGCUUGUCUCCAGCCUUUCUCCUCUAGCUUUUGGUCCGAUGGUGCUACGUACUCCGUUAGUAAUAAGUUUCACAACCAGGCCUUACCUACUUGAUUUUAUUGCAAAACCCUAAUUUUUCAUAAGUCUUCUAAUCUCUGACUUUUUAAAAUGAUUUUCAAAUUAUUCUUUUUGUUUUACAAUACUCUCUACUCGAUUUCUUCGAUUACUCAGGUUUUUCAACAUUUUGUAAUCCUUUUCUAAGCUAGGGUUUCUGAAAAUUCCUUUCUUUGAAACACUUUAUGGAUUUAAGUGUUUAAUCUCGUAUGUAAAUGGUUUUUGACUGAUUUUAUUGAGUUCUUCCUAUACUAAAACCCCCAAUCAUUGAACUUUGUCUGGAUUCUGCACUCGUCUGUGGUAUUUGAUAUAUGCCUAUGUUCUGUGCUUUGAUUUACUUGAUUACUGCUUCGUUUCAUUAGAAUAUCAUGUGAUUUUUCCCUAGUAUGCCUCUAUAAGGAUUUCAGAUUCGAUUCUUUACAAUUUAUACUUGACUUAUUUGACUAUUCAUGGAAAUCUUUGUUAUUCUCAUUAAAUAAGUGUUAUUUCAAUUUUUUAUUCAUUGAAUUGUUACGGUAACACCUAUGUGCUGAUUCUCUAUUAUUUCAGUGUAUUUGCAACUUUAAUUAGUUUCUUACCUUAUUUUUAAUUAACCGUGUGACUUAUUGAUUGGUUUCCUUAAUUGAACCUUGGUGUAUUUACCCUUAAUUGUCUACGAUGUGCCCAAGUAAUUCUUGAUUUUCUUUUCUUAAAUAUGUUGUACUCUUAACCGUUGGCUAAUUACCCCUAAAUUAGGGGAAGGCAUGUUGAUUUCUAUUGCCUGAUUGAUUCUAUGGCUUCAUUGAUUGAGGAAGUUGAUUACCUUUACCUUAUUUUGCUCUGCCUUCAGCUACCAUAGUAUUCCUCCUCUCUUCUCACUUCAAACAUGAACAAAAUUCAUUAUGAACUCUCUCUCUUAUACAAAAUAUAUUCAGUGCUCUCUUUUGUUUCUACACAAUCUCUCUCACUUCUCUUGAGACUACUGGUUACUCAACUAGUUUGAAACCCAGGCUGAACUUUAGUCUACUAUACCGUUGUGUUGCUCUCUACGCCUUUGAUUGCUUUGGUCUGCUAUUGCUGUUCACUUCUCUGCAAUUGCUGCUCACUUAACUUCUAUUGCUGCUCACUUCUUUGCCUACUGCUGCUCUCUCUGCAUAUUGCUGCUCGCUCUCUUGAACACUAUUGCUCACCACUUUACAUAUUAUAACUCACUACUGCCCUGCAUUACCUUGCCAUUAACUAGUAUGUCUCUAAUUUGAUUUAGAGCUUCAAAACAAUAUGUUUCUAUUUGUAUUGCACUUUCUCUUAUUUCUGGUAUGUUUCUACUUAGGGUUUUGUUGUUCUUACUGCAAUUAGCAUGCCUCCAUGUUGAUUAAUAUGCCUAUCUUAAUCUAGCAUGCCCAUUACUCCUUUUGUCUGUCCCUUGCAUGUUCCUCCUUACCCCUAACCCUAGUACAUUUUUAGCAUGUAUUCAGGACCCUCUUAGCCACUAAGUAACUUGAACUUCUUCCUGAUGUGUGAAUCUGUUUGGUAUCUAUCAAUCUCAUGUUGUUUAAAACCUAUUUGAUCGUUAAUGUUUUGAAGUUCUUUUCUUUGAUGUUUGUGUAUAUGUAACUGUUUUAUCACUUGUGAGUUACUUAUCCCCCAUGUCCUCUGCCCCUGCUUGUGUUUGUCUUCCCUGAACCCUGUAGCCUCAUAUUGUCUUUUCUGCUGUUUUUCUCUCAAAACUGUUUUCAUGUUAAUCCUCUUUCAAAUGUUUUCAACUCAAUAUCUUUAAAACUCUAUCACAAUCUCGCUAUUCCUAGAAUUUAGGUUCUACCCCCUCGGUGUAAGCAUUGCCUUGGGUACCAACUAAACUUUGAUGCACAAGGGUGGUAAUUCCAUACUUCUAGUGAUUCAAUGUUAAUCUGUUUGGGUGCCUGGUAUUUUUCAGGGGCCCCAAUGGCCCCUUAGGGAGCUUUGCUGCAUCCCAAACAUUUGUAAAGGCUGUGAAACUCGAAAGAAGUAAGGUUGGAGAUUUGGGCCUGGUUGAAGGCUCCCUAUGGAUUAACUUCUUAUUUUAACUCUUCAUUACUGUAAUCUAAUCGCAUUGUUCUGUAGUAACUUGUAAUGAAGAAUGCGAGUUUAUAGUGAAAAUGGGAGGGAUAUGCAUGCUUACUUUAAGGGUACAGGUAGAAAACCUGUUCGUAUGAUUUUUCUUAUUUGUACAAUAGACAUCCUAUCUUGGGCAUGCAUCUCACAUGACUAGAAAUCCUGUUUUAGGUUUUUUUACUUUUAUUUUGUCAUCAUAAUCGGUUAAUAACUAACAAGUCACUAUUUUUGCUACUGCAUUUAUAUACCAUAUAUUAGGACCCUUAUGUGCAUUAGAUAUCAUGUAUUUAGGGCUUUGUUUUCAAUUUCUUGAAUGCCUCACUAGUUUUGUCUAACAACACAAGUCUGGUUAACAAUUUCCUUCAAAUUGGAAACCAAAUAUGCAUGUCCACUCUCAUUUAUGAUCAAACAAUGCCUAGGCAAGCAUUAGACUGGAUAAAAUUGAUUAAUCAUAUUCUCAUCAGUUUCAGACUACUUAGCCUCUUAACUUUCUGAAUUUUGCUUUUCUGAAAGUUUUCUAUUGAACUCCGCCCUUUUUUGAGAAAAUAACAUCUAUAUAUUUUUUCUACUAGUUAACUGUGCUGUCCAGAAUUAUGCUACUAUUUUCUAAAACUUAUCAAAAUAUUGCAUCUAUAACGUCUCUAGUACAAUUUGCAAAUUAGAUUUAGAUUAUUUCCUAUAUACUUCUCUCAUUUAAAAUUACACUUCUAAAAUUCCGAAUAAUUUUGCAUCUGUUUUCUACCACUCCUGUCCCAAUCUGUGCUAUUUUUGUUUUAUCAAAAUAUUAAAUCUUUGAUACCUUUACUAUAUAUUCUCAAGUGUGUUUUAAAGUGUCUCUUAUUGAUUCCAAAACUGCUAUAUACUUACUGCCAUUAUUUCGACCAAACUUUCUACUUUCUGUCCAAUUUUCGAAAAUCUAUCUUCGACAGUCUUGCCUUUUAAAUUCUCAUUUUUUAGACCUUCAAUGUGUUUGAGACGUGAUAAUUAUAUGCCUAUCUAUAGAGGGAUGUUUGAGCCUUUUACAUGCUCUUUGUAUGGUUCCAUUUUGUGUAGUCUUAUUUGUUAUGUAUGUCGCUUAGCAUUUUGACCUUUAAACCUAAGGGUUCAGCCUAGUCCUUAUAUUAAAGGAAUAGUGGUCCUAAAUACCCCAUAUGACCUAUAAGACGGGAUGGGUAAUAGCAUGCAACAAGCAUUCUUGACCAAUCCACACGUUUAAAUGACCUUUACGGGACGGAAAAGGUAGAAUGUGGAGACGAUGACCGGUGCCCUAGUAUCAUAUGCGACCCCUCUCCUGAGGAGUGUGUGCUGGGUAUUAUAUCGAUGUGAUCCGUAAUGUAGUUAUACCUAGGACCUCUUUCCCCAUUUCUUUAUUUCUAUAAAUUUUUUCUUAAAUUUAUGUUAUUCUUCCAAUUAAUCCUUCUCUUUUAAAAUCACUUAUGUCCUUUCCUUUCCUUUCAAAAAUUUUAAAUUUUGUUUGUAACUAAUAUGUGCGAACUCAGGUUUUCUUUUAAAAAGUCUUCUUCUUUUCUUUAAAAGUGUCCUAAUGCACUAUAAUCAUUAGGUGGCGACUCUUCAAAUUCCAUAGCCCAUUUCCUCAAAAAGGAAUAAGAGUUGUUUUUCCCAUAAUGUUGUAAACCUAAUUUCGCUUCUUUUAGGAGGAAAAAGGGGCGUCGACAGAAAGGCAGAAGAGAAUUAGAGAGAUAAUUUUGGGGAUUUAAAUGGGCAUUUGAUGUCAGCUAUUAAUGAUUUUGGUAUGUAUAGACUCGUGAGAGGAUAAGUAUUCUAUUGAUGUAAUUUUUAUUGGAUUCCGAUACGUGCUCCCGUGGGGUCGAGUUUGGCCAAUUUUGGGAUUCUUGGUGUAAAUUGGUUAUUUUUGAGUGAGCUUUGUGCCCUUAGCAUAUUUUGAUGGUAUGAAUCUGUUUUUGGUUAGAUUUGGAGCAUUCGAAGGCUGAGUCGAGAGGCAAAGGCAUCGCGGGCUAGAGUUUGGACCAGAUUGAGUUGAGUUUGAUUGCAAACGUUGUCCAAGGGUAUGAAACCCCAGAUUUCACAUUGUUAUGCUACUUUGAGGUGACGAACAUGCUAGAUAACAAGCGUGGGGUCGUGCACCAUUGGGGAUUGUGAGUUAGUCCAUCCCGUAUGACUGUUAAGUUGCGUAUUUGAUUGAAAACUAUUUGAUAUCAUUGUGUUUUGGAAAUUAUAAUCAUUUUUGGGCCGAAUGCCAUAUUUGGACGUCGUGCCAACUAUUUUGGACCCUUAGGGGAUAUUUACUACUAUUGCUCACAAUUUUAACUUCAUAUUUGUACUCAGGCAUGUUGUAUUCUACUCUUUUCAUAACUCAGCCAUAUUUACUCAUUUUUGAUAUUUUAAAUGAUAUUUUGGUCGGAGAAUCAUGUUUUACUAUUGCCUAAGUGGCUUGAAAGAUUUCUGAUUGAGUGAGGCCAAGGGCUUGUGUUAUGAGAAUAUUAUGGGAUCGGUCUGUUCGUCGCACCAGAGUUGUACUAAUUCAUAAUUUUAUGGCCGAGGGCCUAAUUUUGUAUGCCACGAGGUGGCUCAUUAUGAGCUGAGGCCUUUUUUAUAAUGCCACUAGAUUGCUUGUUAUUGCGCUUUGGCUGUAGGAGCCCCUCCAGGAGUCUGUACAGCCCCAGUUAGUGUGGGUAACCAAUGUGAAUGAUAUGAUGUAGCCCGAGGGGCUGUUGUUGUUUCAUCUUGUUACCCGAGGGGCUAUUCUUAAUUCAUAUUUUUCCCGAGGGGAUGUUUCCGUUUCUAUUAUUUUUUACUCACUAUUUCAUCACUCGUUUGAAAGUAGUGAAAGUUGUUUUAAAAGGUUUUACCUAAAACCGAGCAUGAUAUACAAAGUAAAUGAUUUUUGUACUGUGUUGGAAAUGUCCUGUAUUUGUUGUAGCAUUUUGACAUGGUUUACAUGUUUUCUUACUGCUCAUCUUUCAUUUACUUUUAUUAUUUACAUAGUUGUCGUACUCACAUUACUUUCUUCAUCUUGUGUGUGAUUUAGGUAUUUUAGAACUCUGUAGCGAGUGUUAAUUACUCAGUGGCAGAGUCAUCAGAGUUAUCAAGGUAGCUUCCUGACAUUUGCAACCGUGCUCUUCUCCCUCUUGUCUUCAUUAGAUUGUUUUUAGACUCUUGAUUCUAUUCUGACCUCAAUAGAUGCUCGUGACUUGUGACACCCCGAUGUCAGAAUUGUGUAUUUAUUCUGCACUGUUAAUUUAGACUAACAUUAUGAGGUUUUUUUAUUAAGUAAAGGCUUAAAAAUACCUUUUAUUGAUUAAUCUUAACAGAAGAGUUGUGUAGGCUGGCCUAGUUUCGCGAUAGGUCCAUCACGACCGGGUCGAUUUUAGGGUCAUGAAAAGUUGGUAUCAGAGCCUAUGGUACAUAGGUUUCAUGGGUCAUGAGCAGGCUUAGUAGAGUCUCAGAGAUCGGUAUGGUGGCGUCUGUACUUAUCCUCGGGAGGCUGCAGAACUUUUAGGAAAAACUUUGCAUUCUUGAAUUCUUAUCGUGCAUCCUUGUAUCAGCUUGAAAUGUACUUUGAUUUCCUUCCGUGCAUUCAUAUGCAUGCAUGAACGCUCUUUAUUGAUUGUGCAUUGACGGCUUGUGAUUACUUGAUCGAGGGGCGAGAUGUGACCUAUGUGUGUUGAUGUUAGGCCAGUCUGGAGGACAUGAGAUCGGGCCUUGCCUGUAGCUUAAACCUUGAGCUGUUCAUUAAGGGAAGUAAUGACUGUAUAGUUACGUGAUGAGUGUGAUGUGACUGUGAGAUGUGUUCAUUUGAGUUGAAUGAGACGGAAGGGUCUACUUGUGGGUAGCAAGAACUAUCUAGUGCUUUAUUUCCAUCAUGAUUUGGUGUAUAGCCCCGAGUUGUGUGUGUGUGUUGAAGGAUAUUUUCAUGUUUCGAGUUAGGUAGUGAAGUAGAUUUCACGUUGUGAUAAGAGUUUGGAAUCAGGAAGAUUAAAUGUAUGAGUAAUGUUUAUGAAUGUGGAAGGGUAUAAAGAGAUGUUUGUUUGAGGUGAAUCUAGUGGGUUAUCUCCUGCAGAGUGUUUUGAAGUUUGUGUGAUCCUUAUGUUGUUUCUUGGAAGAUCUGUUUUGCCAGCAAAAUAUAUGUGUUAAAAUUUUAAUUUGGGUCUCUUAAGAGAGUGAGCUUGACUGUUACGAGGGUGAAUCCGAGAUUUGUGGAACAUUUGAAGUACUAGAUGGUCUGUGUUUCACGGGCUUAUAAAGGAUUGAGUUUAAUCUCACUAUAUUGUGGCGGUAAUAGAGUAUAUGCAUUUUGAGGUAUUGUGUGUUUUGAUCUACGACUUUGAGCCAGUUGGGGAGCUUACUAUUGAUUAGUUCAUUACACGGUUAUGUGCUAUGUUGUUUCCAGUUUAACGCAUAUUGGUAAAUCUCUUGUGGCUUACGGAGUAUGGUGCAUAGAACAUGAAGUUGCUCGGUUGCAUUAAGGUGUGUUUACAUUCUGCGGCACUGGAGUGCCAAUAGAGCACAGGUCAUCCAGUUUGUUUGAUAGUUCUAAUUGUGGUUUUAUUAGAGUGGAUGACUCGCGGGAAUGGUUCUAAUGGGUUCACGAUUUUACAUGUAAUAAGUGGAUAUUUAGGUUGUAUAUUUGGCUAGAAACCGAGAUUUGCAUUGGAGGGUGCCAAAACUUGUGGUAUUUCUAUAUCAUUAUGGAUUCUAGGUAUCAGUAUCAGGGAGGUGAAGGUAAUGGCUUUAGAAUUGUAGGAAGCUAUGGGUAAACUUAAUCUACAAAAAAAUUCGGAAUGCAGGCACGUGGGCAUGAGGGCAUUUUUGUCAACCUUUUGAUCGGGGUUAGGAAUUGUUAUAAAUUGGAUUGUAAUGAGUAAUUAAGCAUAUAUUAAUGGAUUAGCAUCAUUAUUGGAUAAUUUUGGAGCAUUUAGCAUCGACUCAAGUCUUCGGAAGAGCGUGAAAUGCUAGUUAUGGAUUUUCGGAGCGAGGUGAGUCUCCUUUCUAAUCUUGUAAUAGGGAAUUUUUCCCAUAGGUAAAAUAAAUGGUUAUGUGCUUCUAUUUGUGGGGGCUUCGUGCGCACGAGGUGACAAAAGUCCGUACAUAGCUACUAAUAUGUGCAAGUCCUAGUAGUCUAUGACCCAAAAAUAUGCUAUACUUGGAAUAUCUGUAAUCUUAUUGACAGUUGAAUUUCUUAAAUCCCAUCGAAUUGAUAUAUGAAUUUCCAAAAGAUUAAACUUUAUUUUCUUAAAAUUGUUAAGUGAGAUUCGGCUUUUAUUUGGAUAAAUGUUCCCCAAUAAAUUCUUAAUUGGCUGAUUGAGCAUGUAUUUCUAUGUUUACAUACAUCGCAUAUAUGAUUCGCGCGAAGGGUGAUUGUUUAUUUAAAUUUUAUCGUGUUGCAGGUAUGAUUCAUGAGCGAGGUAAUAGAUGCAUCUAUGGUUCAUGCCGUCCGAUCCUCGGCAGUGCACAUUUUACAAUUCUAUUGGAUCGGGCUGUACGACCUCGCCAUGAUUUGCGCACGCUUAUAUUGUUUACAUGAGAAUUUUAUAUUUUGAUAAUUGCCUUUCCUAGCCAGAG